rnacentral:misc_RNA from 1 species
UCCGAGUUGACCCCGGCAUUACCCGCUGGCAACAUAGGACAAGGGUUGCGCUCGUUGCGGGACUUAACCCAACAUCUCACGACACGAGCUGACGACAACCAUGCACCACCUGUGCGGGGCCCCGAAGGACACCGUAUCUCUACGGCUUUUCCCCGCAUGUCAAGCCCAGGUAAGGUUCUUCGCGUUGCAUCGAAUUGAGCCACACGCUCCGCCGCUUGUGCGGGCCCCCGUCAAUUCCUUUGAGUUUUAGCCUUGCGGCCGUACUCCCCAGGCGGGGCACUUAAUGCGUUAGCUACGGCACGGAACCCGUCGAUAGAGCCCCACACCUAGUGCCCAACGUUUACGGCGUGGACUAC